AGGAAAUGCAAUUUAUUUGCAAUUUUUUAAUAACAUCAUUCCUCAGAUAAAAAUGCAAUGUUACAGGAAUAUACAUCAGAUAUUAAUUUAAAACUUGCUUUCAAGGGACCAUACAGUCUAAAUAUACUUUUUCCUUUUUUAUUUACUUGUAGCGUGCGUUAUAAGCAAGACAGACUCUGUCACCAAUGACAGACUGACAAGUUACAGAUACAAACUGUACAUUACUUAUUUACAAAUCAACUUUUUGUUUGGUUUUUUCUUUCACUUUUUAUUGAAAAUAGGAGUAGAAAAAGUGAUUGAAUUAAUAUUCUGAUUUAUUUCAUUUGUAUUCUUUCCCUUUCUAAAAUCUAAAAUGAAAUGAAGGAGAAAAAAAAAUCAAGAUCUCUCUUUUAGAAAAAAAGCAGAACGAGAGGAAGAAAAAAUAAAAAGGUGUCAAUCUGAGAUCAUGUCACUUAGCAACCUCAGAACAAAUGAAAUUCCUCGCACAGUCGAGGGGGAGUGGCUUACGUUAAAGAAUUCAGUUACAAAAAAAGAAAAGAAAAAAAAUGGCCAUCUGCCUCCGAAGCUAUCAAGCACAAUAACACACUCUAGUUCAUUUUUCUGAUCGUAAAUAGUGCUGUUAUUAAAUACUACAUUUAACAGUAGCGUCACUACUAAUAUUACAAGGAAUUGGUCUUUGUGUGAUCACCUCUCUCCAAAAAAAUAAACUCAAGGAUUGACAACAGACGUCUCUCUGACAGAGAAGAACAAAAACAGCUCAGUCCUGUUAAUGGCCCUUUAACACUUUGCAUUAGUAGUGACGUACACGUAAGAUCAUACAGAGCAGCACAGCCCUGAUAUAUAAAUGAGGAACAGAAAGAAGGUAAACACUGUGCUGUACGUAGAGCUGUGGAUCUCUUGCCACUAAAUCAAGCUGGCCAAAAGCAGGGAAGUGCCUUCUUUGCUUAAAGAGAUGCUCCUGCUUCAGCAGUAAUGGAAGAAAACACUCGUGAUGCUCUCAAAUGGGCCCACUCAUCUAUUUAAAGCUGCAUCUGCACGCGCAGACACAUACAAGACCUCUAUGUUUCUAACUCAACCGAGGCCUUUUAUGUGUGUGCUGGUCAGAACAUUUCUCUUCCAUAAAUGGCUAUGUAGAAGGAAAAUCUACAAAUAUAAAGUGACUCCUCAGGUGUGAGUAAGAGCAUAUAACUGUAUCCUACAUUCACGGGGUGACUGGAGAAAUAGUUCUCAUCUGCGAUGCAAUGUUAAGUAGCUCUUGUCUGUAAAAUGAAGAGAGGAGAAGCAGAUACAGGCGGAGACAUUCGUGGUUCUAAUGAGGUGAAAGCUGUUCCAAAACCAGAACCGCUGACAGUCAAGUCUGCAUUGUAAAGCUGCUGCCACGCCUCUGAAGUAAUAUCCCAAAGAGAGUCGCGUUUGCUGCUACAGAAAGACUCGAUCUUAGUGUCAAAACUCAGUUCCAGGCAGGGCUCUCUGUGAUUUGGAAUGAAUGGGGGAUAACACACAAGGCCUUUGAGGUCCUGACGAAACAGUCAUACUAAAUAUUCACAUAAAAGGUGCUGUUGUAGGUGCCGCUAUACGAUGAGUGAAUUCUAGUCUAUACAUUAUUCCUAAACCCACUGGGCAAGCAAAUUUCAUCUAUCAGGUUCAGCUAUGAGCUUAGCAGCCCUGGAAAAAAGUCGCCACCAAUAUUUGAUGACUUAACGUGGUGCUAUGAGGGGAAAAAUGAAUAAAAUCAGCUGUUUGGGUGCUGCUUAAUAUGCAAAGAGCUGGCUAUGAAACUCAGCAGUGAUCACUUACUUAAAGCUAAAUCAAUCACUUCUACUUUGUUGAAGAUGUAUUGGUUUCAUUGAGCCAAACAGAUUAAAUACAACGUGUAAUGAUCAUGUAAUCCAAAUUUGUAGUUUUAAACAGGCUGCGUGUCCUUGAUCGCAUUUAGUCCAUCAAGGAGUGAAUGAAAUGCACCUCUGCCCCACUGCAUUUCCUUACCGACCUGUGAUGUUUCUUCGUAAGAUCACGUCUUUGCACGAGCAACAAACAGAUGAAGGUAAAUCUUCACACAAAAUUAGUCUCUCUCUCUCUUUUUUGAAUAAAUAAACUCACAGAAUGGCACCUGAAACCUGAUCAGGGUGUUUCUUUAAAUAAAACCAGAUUCUUUCAUCCAUCCCACAAGCUGCAACAACCUGCCCCGAACAGUCAUUUAAUAUCAUAUAAUAUAGCUAUAAUAUUCCUAUCAUUUAAUAUCUAAAAUAGAAGACAUGCAGUACAAAGUUGCAUGUAACAAUAUGUUCCCUCUUUCCGUUUCUGCCCUCUUUCCCAAAGCGCUCAUUAGCAUCGAAGUCAAAAUAACAUCUGAGGUGAUUCUCUUGAUGAUUUUAAUUCUACUCCUACGACAGCUGGCUAUUAUAAUUGUACCUGGAAAAUAAAAUACAAUUUAUAUUCAAAAUAGUCAUCUUAAAAUAUCUUUGUCGGCAUCAAACAGUGAUCAACAAACGCUUUGAUUUACAAGAAAAUAUAAUAUGCAUCUGCUGCAACAAUGAUAGAUCCACGUGAGGAGAUCUGAGUGACCGAGACGGGGAAAGAUUACAAGACUUCUGCUCUCCAGCCUCACACUCUCCGAACUGGCAAAGUUAAGGAUAAACACACAACUCUAAUACUUUUAAAAAGUGUGUAAAAUGCUAUUUUUUUGUUUCUUUAUUUUCAUUUUUUAAAUACUGAACAGAUUAAAAAUUUCUCAAUGUACAGCAGCUUUUCUCCGUAACGAUAAAAAUCAGUCUUGUCAUCCUUUUGUGGCUCCUCAGUGUCAAGAUUUCAUGAAGCAGUGACCAUGUUUGUAUUUCCAGGCUAAAUCCAACAGAUAACAUUGUUGGUGAAUAAAUAUGGGAAAACCAUGAAUUUCAUUUUGCGUUCUUUGAAAUAAACGGUCAAAUUGCUGCAGUCUGGAGCUUUUACUGUAAAUGCAGACAAAAGAUCUUAUCGAAUUAGUUCGCCAGGCGCAAAACUACUUGACUUCCUACUCUGCACACAACGCAGAUGAAUAAAUGACUCUACACAGACAUGUAGUUCAAGUCCUCCAAUAUCUUUUUUUGGAAGUAAAAGAAGAAAAAGAAAAGAGGCUACACGAUUUAAACGGCUCAAAAUAACCCAUAAAGAUAUCUAGUCCUUGGUAGGUGCCAUUUUUGGUUAGGUCUUUUAAAAAUGUACAGUGUGUAUAUGUUUUGCUGAUGUAGGACUACUUGAAGAGAGACACGUCUCUCAGUGCUACAGUAGGAGUAAUAACCAGACUCUGACCUGCACUUACAGGUUGCUGGUAGGAAAAGCUCCAUGGUCUAUUAUGAAACAUCCAUAAACGUCCAUAGCUUAAACAUUCAGUUUUCUUUUUCGGCGCUUACUUAUUUCCCGCUGCUUCCUUUUGCUUAAAAAAUACAUUAAAGUGGGAAUUCAUACUGACCUCCUGUCAGCAAGCCUAUAUAGAACAUUUCCAAUAUAAUAAGUGUCCUUCCUGUUCCUUAAUCUAACAUUCUGGCGAUUAAAUAUCAUAUGUUCAUAAAUAUUUUGCUAUAUAUGGUAUAUAAAAAUAUACAAUCAUUGGCUAGUGGUGAGACAAAAGAUAUCAUCAUUUAUAUAGGACCAAUAUUUUAUAUCCCUAUGCACAUUGAACAUUACUUAAAUGUAUUGUAUAAUCCACCAUGUCAGAUCACCCUCCAGAAAUCCAAACAUGAUGAAAUAAUCUCUGCAUUCAACAUUCUCAGGCCAAACGCCCACGUCUUCCCAUUGUCGUCGACCGCUGAAUAGAUUGUCACCCAUCUGUCAGGGACUAAGCCGUUCCCCUCUCCAGCUCUGCUUUCACUUGAGGAAAUUACUUCCAUUUGAACUGCACCCUUUGUGGCAGAGGGGCUUUGUUUACAGUUUAACUGGCUGCAGGUGGAGAUCCAGGAUGACUGCAGCUUAUCAGCCUGAUAAACCCGCUGCCAACUGUCUAUGUGGGAAAAGAGAGCACAAGUAUACAAAAAGACCCCCUCACACGUAGUGGAUUCAAGGUGGAAGAUGUGGCUAAUAAAUGAUAAGAGCUUCACAGACGCACGUUUGGUGCACGUUUACCACAAACUGAAAUGAGCCAUGACUAAAGGGGAUCCAUUAUGCUUGCUUAAUUAUUCUCAGAUGUUACCAGAGUAGCUUAGCAUGAUUUACGUUUUAAAAUAAUUCUUAUUUACUUUACACUGCGCUUUAGUGCAGCCUCUCUGUUCAUCUAUUAUCUGAGGUUUCUUCCUGUUGAAAGGAAGUUUUUCCUUCCUACUAUCGCCAAGUGCUUGCUCAGGGGUCAUUAACCUUUCAUUUUAGAAGAUACAACUCUUUGAUGUGGCUGCUGCUGUGAUUAAGCACUAUAUAAAUAUAAGUGAAAUGAGUUGAAACAAGCAACUUUAAACGUUUCAACUCCCUUUAAGGCAAAUUUCUAAGGUUCCAAGCACAGGUGGGCAGAGCUUUUGUGCUUAUGGCCAAAGAUAUGUGCCCGAAAUUACCAUUUUGGGAUAAUUUAUGCAUAUGUAUAUUUAUGUAGAGCCAACAUCUGAAAAAAAAAUUAUUUAGAUCAGUCAGAAGUUUUAGCUUUUGGCUCACACGGAAUACUCGUACAUACGCUAUUUGAAGCUUUAAAUAUGAGGAUAUUGUAACAGUAUACAGCUGACAGGAAUAUGAAAAAGCAUAUUAGGUCCCCAUCAAAGCAAAUGAUUAUACCUGAGCUUUUCCUGAUAAUCAGUCAGCUCUGUUCAAAGGGGCCCUCGCUGCAGGUUGGUACCAAUACCAUAUUACACACUGACUGUUUACAGCACAGCUACACACCAGUCUUUAUAGUAGAUUUGUUUGCAGGUUUUGUAUAAGAUUUUUUUCCAUUUGAGCUGAUACACAAAAAUUUGACCGAUACAGAACGGAAUUUUACUCAUGAUGAUGAGUGUUUAUAUGACCUGCAGCAUGAUAAAAGCCUAGUAAAUUAUUUGUGACUGGCACUGAAUAGUAAAAGUGUUAGAAUAUCAUCCUAUAGAGUAGAAACAUUUGAAUAUAUGCUGUGUAACUCCUGCCUGUCUAUCCUCAACCUGGAUUUAAAUCAAAGUCUGUCCCAGUAAUCAAUUUAAAAGUAAUAUGGUAACACAAAGCCUUAUUUACUGAAUUCGAGAGGAAAAAUAUUAAACUUUAUCAUUUGUCUGUUCUUAAAUAUCAUCUCGCUGUCCUCCUCAGGGUUAUGCAUCAGGAAAAUAAACUAAAAGCACAUAAGACACAAGAUAUGCAAAAUCACCUUCCGUGGACUCUUCAACCGCUGUCCAGUCAGUUCUGAAGAAGAAAUACUGCUUUUAAUCAUUUUAUGUACACUAAAUAGUCAUAUUUAACCUGAAUCAAACAAAACAACUGCAAAACCCGGAACGCUCAAAUGUCAACACGUGAACCUCAUGCAAUGUUUACACCCAAGAAGCUUAGAUCUUACAAAAAAAAAGAAAAAAAAAGGGGAAAUAAGCAACAUAAAAAGAUACAGUCAGAAAGUAGCAACCUGGGGAAAUAUGGUCAGUCGCUUUUGUUGCGUCUCCACUGACCUUCAGGUCACUGCCUCAAAAAAAACAAAAACAAAAAAGAACAUGCACCCUGCGACGAGAAUGAAAAAUAAAUACAUCUGCACUAUACCGCACUGCAAUGUACCUGAUUUCAAGUAUGUUAGGUUUUCUGGCAUGGAAACCACCAAGGUGACUUAAAAACAUAACAAACAGAAAAUAAUACAGCUUCAUGAUACUGUGUUGUUGUUUUUUUCUUCACUUUCACAAACAUAUUUACUUCAGGAUCCUUGUAUACAGUCAUAGUUAUUGCAUUGUUUUUGCAUAUCUUGUGGGUUGCAAAAUUACACCCACUCAUACCGUUACACUGCAACACAACGUCUCGUGCUAUUCUAUGUGGGACAUAAAAACGGCAAUGCUGCUCCACUCCACACGGGGGCACUACAGCUCUCUUGAUUCUGAAAUCACACUCACCAAGCCUGGAUGGUACUUCGGAUUUCCAGGGUUACUUUGUGUAUUUAUCUAUAUGCUAAAAUUUAUAAGGAACACAAAAGUAAAGUGAAUUAUUUAUCAGCUGGAGAUGGUCCUGGACUGUUUAUAAUCUGCUCUGCAACCUUGUGGAAAUGUUCCUAUCCUAAAUGUGUCUUGGUUGAACAAUUUCAGGCAAUACUGUCAUUCACUACUGGUUUCCACAUUCAUGGUUGUUGAUAUAUUAGCUGAUAAAACAGCAAUAGUAAUAGUAGAAAGCUGAUGGCUCCACUGCAGCAGCACAGCUAGAACCAUUGACUUUUAAACUCAGGGUUAACUAAACUUCAACUUGACGAACUGAACAAAGAUUGGUGCUACUUUUCAGGUAUUAACAUCCUUGACUUUACCCAGAUCUGCAGCUUAUACCAAAACUAGCCACCAAAGGGUCCUGUCAGCUUAUGCCAGAAAAUUAUUAUUUUUUAAGAGGUGCUUUUACAAUAAUUCAAAAAAAAAAAAAAAAAUGUUGACAGUAUCUUUAUGAAGGCAAAUGUUUUUUUUUUUUUUGGGGGGGGGGUAAGUUAGGAGGGUUAAUUCCUUUUGACAAAACAGACUUUUUCAGAGUUUGCAGUGUCAUAACCACAAAACAACAUCAUCACUGCCACUAGAACAUACUCAACAUUCACAUUUAGUUUGCAUAAUAAUGUCAGAAGUCUGGUACUGGCACAGGACGCAGUGUAUGGCAGUGUGUCCAUGCAUACCCCCCUUCCCUGCCACAAAGCUGCUCUGCUUAACAUGAAGGAAUUAGAGCUCGACAGUAAGUCCUUAAUGGUAAAUUAAAGAGAAACGAAUGGCCGUAAGUUAAGACAUACGAGUGUCUCUAGGUGGUCGUUCAACAUCACUGAUGACUUGAAAUGGCAAAGGCUUUUGCAGUGUAUUCGAAUUUUUCUUGGAAUUAACUAGAGAAACUUGUGAUUUAGGUUUAAAAUGACUCAUUAAUGUUAUAACCAAAACAUGAAGAUGCACUGUUCGGUGACUUUUGGUAUUCUCCUAGUGUACUUUGCUUUUUGAAAGUGCUGUUAACACCAAUUAGGUUUCUCCCUAUUUGAGAGGCCAUUGGCAACCUGUAUUUAAGGGACUUACAGUGUAGGUGGAAGAUGCCUAGUUUUUGGAAAAUAAAACUGAUAAUAAGCUUCAUCUUUGUCCCUCUGGGACUCAAUUUCCCUCUUGGAUUAAUAAAGUUUCUCUGAUUCUGAAAUAUUUAAGAGUGAAUUUCAUGAAUCUGUUCCCCUUUUAUUCCUUACCUGCACACAUUCUGCAUAUUUAUCGAUUUCACUUUUAAAUACUAUUAAAUUGUAGAAAUAAUAAUAAUGAUAAUAAUACAUGUGGCAGUUGGUACCAAUGAGGUGAUUUUGAUGUCAGGAAUGCUUUUGGAGACGGUACAGUACCGAAGUGAGACCUGUGCCCUGUGUAAAAUGCUGAGGCUUGAAUGAAAUACCUUGCAGUGGUCGUACUUUCAGUGUAUUCAAACUAUACCCAAGGAACGAGUUAAAAAAGAACGAUCCAUCAAAAAAUUUCAGGCUACUUAUAAAGAAAAAAAGUAGCUUAGGAUACAAUUUCCAUCCAAAAUGUAAGCUUUGUGAUUUCUAUCUAAUAAUUUAUCACGUUAACCAAACAAUUAUCAUCUUAUAAUUAUCAGUAAAAUUUCCUGCUUGUAUGCUAAUUUUUCAGCAAACUGUUUUUACCAGUAAAUCAUAAAUAUCACAAACAGGAAGUCGGUUUUAUCUCUGAAACCAUCCCUGAUAAAAAAAUACAUUUUAUGAUACGAGCCUCAUAUAAAGACGUGUGAUUCAGAAGUCUUGCAGCAUCUGUACACCAGCCCUAAAAGUUAAUUUGGAGUUUAAACUCAAACGGUCGUGUAAUGUGUGAUACGCGGGGGACCAUCCCCACUCUGAGUUCCUUUACGAGUUGUCACUGUGCCGCUAUGAAUAAGGGGGCUUUCUAAAAUUCAGAGCAACAACCGCCAUGAUUAAGAAAAACAGCAACUUGCCAAAAGGCUUCUUACCGUCUGGAAAAACUGCAAUGCCUGAAAGAUCUAUAAUUCACUCUGACCUUGCUGGAGACCUUACAGUUAAGUACCUCUGAGUGGGGAAAUAAAGAAAAGUUAUGCAAAAACUAGUUGUUGAAGACAGAGCAGCUUCUGAGUCUGCAGCUUGGCUAAAAAGUAAAAAUCUUGCUAACAAAAUCACAAAGCUUUGGAAGCAUGCCUGUCCAUGGUAACCCUGUGUUAAGGAGGCCCAUUAUCACACAUACGUGCACGUCCCCACACACACACACACACCCUCACGUACAUACACACAAACAAGACCAUACUUGUAAUGCUACCUUAAUUUACUGUCUAGGCUUAAAAUCAGCUUUUAGAAUACACAGGUAAAUCAGUCAAACACACACACACACACACACACACACACACACGCACACAUUUUUUCUCUUCUGGGAAAAAAAUAAAUAAAUAAAUAGAUACAAUCUGUAAAAGGUGCAUACUGAUAGAGAG
ensembl:lncRNA